CUUAGUUUCUUGGAAGAAAUCUAGGAAGUUUCUUUGAACGUAAAAAUCACCAGAGGCAGCGUAUAUAAAGUUUAAGAAUGAAUAUCAUAUAGGGAUGUACCGGAGUCGGAAAUAUUUGUAAAAAAUUGGCGAUGAAAGCAGCGACGGGGAGGAGGUAAAAUGAAGGACGUUUAUGUACAUGUGUUAUAUUAUACUUACGCUAAGUCACUAGAAAUGUGUAGAAGAGGUUCAGAGGGCGGCGAGUUCCCCGGGGCGAUAUAUCUCAGCUUGCAAAUGUCUCGGAGAACAAGGCAGGAAUCAUACCCGCACCUGAACUAGGUCAGGGUAGCCCGCCAAAUGCGUGGAUCAGUUUUAUUUUCAAUUCGUCACCGACUAUCAUGAGAGUAAAAUGCCGCGUACUCGACUGCAUAGCCUCGCAGUAGUUGAAUCAUUUUAGCAAUUGGAGCAACCCGAAUGCAACCUGGUGAUCUCGAUGCAAGGAUAAGCGUCUCAAUAGGUGUCUGUUGAUGUUUAGAUAUUUUUUAAAUUUCAAUGAGAACCACUGGUUCUACAUGAGUCAGUCCAGUACACAAGCCGAGCCGACAAUAAGGACUGACUGUGUAGUGCGAGGCCCCCAGGGUGAUUCGCCAAAAUGACCAUGACCAUAUUACAGGACAGAGGCUCCCAAUCAACCAGCAAUUAUCAUCAAACAA
rnacentral:lncRNA from 1 species